CCAGACUCCUACGGGAGGCAGCAGUGGGGAAUAUUGCACAAUGGGGGAAACCCUGAUGCAGCGACGCCGCGUGAAGGACGAAGUAUUUCGGUACGUAAACUUCUAUCAGCAGGGAAGAAAAUGACGGUACCUGACCAAGAAGCCCCGGCUAACUACGUGCCAGCAGCCGCGGUAAUACGUAGGGGGCAAGCGUUAUCCGGAUUUACUGGGUGUAAAGGGAGCGUAGACGGCCAUGCAAGUCUGAUGUGAAAACCCGGGGCUCAACCCCGGGACUGCAUUGGAAACUGUGCGGCCGGAGUGUCGGAGAGGCAAGUGGAAUUCCUAGUGUAGCGGUGAAAUGCGUAGAUAUUAGGAGGAACACCAGUGGCGAAGGCGGCUUACUGGACUGUAACUGACGUUGAGGCUCGAAAGCGUGGGGAGCAAACAGGAUUAGAUACCCCCGUACG
rnacentral:rRNA from 1 species